AUGUCUUCUUGAAAAAAAAUAAUAAGAAGUCUAACCUGCCCUGUGAUAACUAUUUAACGGCCGCGGUAUCCUGACCGUGCGAAGGUAGCAUAAUCAUUUGGCUUAUAAUUGAAGUCUAGAAUGAAUGGUUGAACAAGGAUAAAGCUGUCUCUAAUAUAAAAGUAAAAUUUUAUAAUUAAGUUAAAAAGCUUAAAUUUUAUAAAAAGACGAGAAGACCCUGUCGAGCUUUAAGGCUGUUUUUAAUUUUUCUUACAUAAAUGAACAUUAAAAAAUUUUAAAAAAUUUUGGUUGGGGCGACCUUGGAACAAUAAAAACUUCCAAUAAAAAAUUUUAUUUAUAAAAUAUUGAUCCAUUAUAAUAAUGAUUAAAAGAUUUAGUUACCGCAGGGAUAACAGCAUUAUCUCUUUUGAGAGUUCUAAUCGAAAAAGAGGUUUGUGACCUCGAUGUUGGACCAAAAUAACCUAAAAAUGCAGAAGUUUUUAAGGGUUGGUCUGUUCGACCAUUAAAAUUUUACGUGAUCUGAGUUCAGACCGG
rnacentral:rRNA from 5 species